CAAUAGCGUAUAUUAAAGUUGUUGCAGUUAAAAAGCUCGUAGUUGGAUUUCUGGGAGAGUGGCGAUGUCCGCUUAACGUGUGUGCAGCGACGCUCUUCCAUCCUUCUGUUAGCGUCUCUCGGCAUUCAUUUGUCGGUGGCGGGCUCAGAUAUUUUACCUUGAGAAAAUUAGAGUGUUUCAGGCAGGCUAGGCCGGAAUACAUUAGCAUGGAAUAAUGGAAUAGGACUACGGUCUCUUUGUUGGUUUGAGGGACUGCAGUAAUGAUUAAUAGGGAUAGUUGGGGGCAUUAGUAUUUAAUUGUCAGAGGUGGAAUUCUCAGAUUUGCUAAAGACUAACUUAUGCGAAAGCAUUUGCCAAGGAUGUUUNCAUUA
rnacentral:rRNA from 1 species